AAAUUAUUUCACUGAUUAUUAAUGGAGAAAACUUGCUUAAGUCCUUAGUUCUCUAUUUUUUAAAAAAAAAAAAAAUAAAGAAGAAGCGACAAUGGCGAAGGAAGCUCCCCACGUUAUAGGCACCGUUACACUUUGUGGAAGAUGCAAAAAAAAAGUUUUCUUUAAUGAAGAAAAGCGUUCGGAUGGUAUAGCCUGGCAUACCAUCUGCUAUACUUGUGCAAACCCAAAAUGUAGACGUCCACUUGACAGCUCUCUAUUAACCGUUCACAAAGAUGAAAUUUAUUGCAAAUUUUGCUAUCCUCUGAUAUUCGGACCAAAUGGUUUCGGAUACGGCAUACCACCAGCAGUCGUUACGGUAAAAGAGCGAUUUACAUCCCCAACUACUUCAAAGUGGAAAUCACUGGACAAAGAUAGGAGCCUUCUAGAGGAUCGAUCCAAUCAAGAUGAUUAUUCACCGGGAUGUAUAGAUUCUGGAUGUUCGACUACCUUAUAUUACGAAGAUAUAUGCUAUAAAUGUAAAUGCAAAGUAUACCGUGCAGACAGAUUAAUUACAGCAUAUUCUGUUUGGCAUAGAAACUGUGCAAAUUGUUGUUCAUGUGGUCAAAUACUCCAAGAUAACGACGCUUAUGAAAGAGACGAUCAAUUAUUUUGUUGCUCUUGUUGCGAUAAAUACUUGAGAGGCGAAAUAUGUAAAGUCCGGAAAGUUUCAAAACUUGACGAAGAAAUUUUAAGCAAAAAUCGAAAGGAAGAAUUAAAUAAUAAUUAUAAAAAUUCUUUUUUCUUUAAUUUUCCUGAAUAAACUCAAAUUCUCUAUUGUUUAGACUUAAUUUGUAAGUUGUAACUCAAUUAUUACCCUUAUGCUAUUAAGCAAACCACCGGAAUUUUAUAGCCAUUCACAGAAUGAAAUCCUAGUAAAAAUCUUCAAAACUUUCUCUCUGCCAAGGCACAAAAAUGUGAAUCAAUUUUCUAUCAAAAGAGCACAAACUAAGAGGAACUGGAAUGAUACUUCAAAAAUGAUCAAUAAUUUGGUUAAAUUACCGAUAUUUUCUGAGGAGUCGCGAAGGUUCUUACGUGUGUAAAUUUUCUAAUUCUACAAAUAGUCACAACGCUCAUCUAUCUGGAGAACCUAUGAUCCUUUUUAUUUCUAGACAUUUCCACUAAAGAGAUCCCAACUAGAACGAUCGCAAAAGUUCGUUGUUCUGUUAUAAAAAUUGUGUCAUGGCUCAAAAUUCAGGAAGUGCUGGUUUAUAAUAAUAAAUCU
rnacentral:misc_RNA from 1 species